rnacentral:rRNA from 1 species
GACGAACGCUGGCGGCGUGCUUAACACAUGCAAGUCGAACGGAAAGGCCCUGCUUGCAGGGUACUCGAGUGGCGAACGGGUGAGUAACACGUGGGUGAUCUGCCCUGCACUUCGGGAUAAGCCUGGGAAACUGGGUCUAAUACCGGAUAGGAGCCAUUUUUAGUGUGAUGGUUGGAAAGUUUUUUCGGUGUAGGAUGAGCUCGCGGCCUAUCGGCUUGUUGGUGGGGUAAUGGCCUACCAAGGCGGCGACGGGUAGCCGGCCUGAGAGGGUGGACGGCCACAUUGGGACUGAGAUACGGCCCAGACUCCUACGGGAGGCAGCAGUGGGGAAUAUUGCACAAUGGGCGAAAGCCGGAUGCAGCGACGCCGCGUGGGGGAUGACGGCCUUCGGGUUGUAAACUCCUUUCGCUAGGGACGAAGCUGUUGUGACGGUACCUAGAUAAGAAGCACCGGCUAACUACGU